UUGGACCUGAUAUCAGGCAAGAUUACCCGCUGACUUAC
rnacentral:rRNA from 1 species